rnacentral:rRNA from 1 species
UACGUAGGGUGCGAGCGUUGUCCGGAAUUACUGGGCGUAAAGGGCGCGUAGGCGGCCUGCUAAGUCGAACGUGAAAUCCCUGGGCUUAACCCAGGAACUGCGUCCGAUACUGGCAGGCUUGAAUCCGGGAGAGGGAUGCGGAAUUCCAGGUGUAGCGGUGAAAUGCGUAGAUAUCGUAAGGAAGACCAGUGGCGAAGGCGGGUCUCUGGACAGUUCCUGACGCUGAGGCACGAAGGUCAGGGGAGCAAACGGG